CUGUGCUAGAUGGGGAGCUAGCGGUGCCCUGUAACCUGCAAUCCGCUAUAGCAGGAUUGAAUUCCCACUCCGAGGUUCGCUCGUUUUUAUGCGUCCUGAAUAAGCGGUGUUGAGAAAUCAAGCCCUUCGCAAUGGAAGCGUGCCCAACCCCGUCAGGACCGGAAGGUAGCAGCGGUAAGUACAUAAUCCAUGUGCCGCGGGAGCCCUUGGUUGGAGCCGGCUGUUCACUCAGUAUAAGAAAAGAGAAAUCGAGGAUGGGUGCACAG
rnacentral:SRP_RNA from 1 species